CUAGAUCUCAGUUCGGAUUGCAGGCUGCAACCCGCCUGCAUGAAGUCGGAAUCGCUAGUAAUCGCGGGUCAGCAUACCGCGGUGAAUACGUUCCCGGGCCUUGUACACACCGCCCGUCACACCACGAAAGUUGGUAACACCCGAAGUCGGUAGUCUAACCGCAAGGAGGACGCCGCCGAAGGUGGGGUUGAUGAUUAGGGUUAAGUCGUAACAAGGUACC
rnacentral:rRNA from 1 species